rnacentral:rRNA from 1 species
AAUGAACGUUGGCGGCAUGGAUUAGGCAUGCAAGUCGGGGGAAUCCCAGCAACGGGGGAACCGGCGUAAGGGGCAGUAAGGCAUGGGUACCUACCUUGGGGUUCGGGAUAGCCAUCAGAGAUGGUGGGUAAUACCGGAUGACGUCGUGAGACCAAAGAUUCAUCGCCCUUAGAGGGGCCCAUGUGAUAUUAGCUAGUUGGUGGGGUAACGGCCCACCAAGGCGAAGAUGUCUAGCGGGUGUGAGAGCACGACCCGCGCCACUCGCACUGAGACACUGGCGAGACACCUACGGGUGGCUGCAGUCGAGGAUCUUCGGCAAUGAGCGCAAGCUUGACCGAGCGAUGCCGCGUGAGCGAUGAAGGCCUUCGGGUUGUAAAGCUCUUUAGUGGGGGAGAAAGGCCGCAAGGUGUGAUCUAUCCCAAAAAUAAGCACGGGCUAAGUUCGUGCCAGCCGCCGCGGUAA